UCUCCCCUGGAAAUACUUCUCCUUCAUAGACUCUUCCCCUGCCCCGCCCCCCACCCCCACCCCAAGAUGACUGAAAAAUAAAAGUUUUUCUCUAAUCAGGAAUCAGAGCUGCUUUUAAAUAACUGCAGGACAAGCAGGGUCCACUACAGGUGAGAAAAAAAAUGUUUCGCGGGAGAUAUUUGGUCCUUGGUUUCCCACCCAUAUCCUACAGAAGAAUGGUAAAUUCUUCACCAUAACAGCCAAGAAGCUGAAAGUGUCUAGAAAAGUUUGCUGAGAUUCGUAUAGUCCCCUGGAUAUCUUUGUCUCUGUCACAUAUUUGUACACUUAUAUACAGCCUCACUGUGCUUUUUACAGCCCUCUCUAAGCGGUUUACAGAGCCAGCCUAUUGCCCCCAACAAUCUGGGUCCUCAUUUUACCCACCUCAGAAGGAUGGAAGGCUGAGUCAACCUUGAGCCUGGUGAGAUUCGAACAGCCAAACUGCUGGUAAUCAGCAGUCAGCAGAAGUAGCCUACAGUACUACAUUCUAACCACUGUGCCACCACAGCUCAUGUCUGUGGAGGAGCCUUAGCCAGGAAGGUGAACGAAAGAAACAAAAAUGGUAACAAAUAUAAAUUACAUCUAGCACAGCCUUUGUCUCUACUGUGCAAUUUUUUAUAGGAAAAGACCUAUAGGUGCCUCUGUUUGGAGAGAACCUGACAACAAGCCAGUUGCUUAUGGGUCUCCAAAUGGAUUGCCAUGAUAUUAGAACGUAUAGCUGGAAGAUAUCAGGGAGGUGAGAGUGAGUGGCCCAUCUUGACCAGUGGUUGGUAAAGAUCCCAAUAGGUUCACAGAUAUGGAGCAACCUUAUAGAUAACUCAAUUGUCAAAGAGGUAUCAUUCAUUAACUGCAGGCUCUUCCAAUUGCAAAGGCAUUAGGCCACUAGUUCUGACAGCAAACGAAUGGCAAAGUAACGCUGGAUUUCACUUGAAUUGGAUUACAGAUAGUCCUCAACUUAUAGCCACUCAUUUAGUGACUGGUGUUACAACGGCACUGAAAAAUGUCACUUACAACCAAUCCUCACGAUUACAACUGUCACAACAUCCCCACAGUCAUGUGAUCAAAGUUUGGGUGCUUGGCACAUAGUUAUAACAGUUAUAGCAUCCCGGAGUCGCCCGGUUGCCAUUUGCAUCUCUCCUAGCCAGUUUCCAACAAGCAAAGUCAAUGGGAAAAGCCAGAUUUGCUUAAGGAUCACAUGUAACUCAUUUAACAACCGCAGCAAUUUGCUUAAUGACUGUGACCAAAAAAAAAAAGUUGCAACCUCAGAUGUGACUCACUUAAUGACCACCUGGCUUAGAAAUGAAGAUUCUGGUUCCAACUGGGCUUGCAAAUUGAAGACUGCCGGUAGAACAGGGCCAGGUCAAUUUGGUGAGGUAAGCCAUAAGCCAUGGCUUUUGAGGAGUGAGAGCUACAGAGAGCUCAGUGAUACAAACAGGAAAGAGGCUGGUGGCUAUAUGCACCAGGCUGAAGCUGAGCUUCCAUUUUGGAGUGUGAAUUUUGUGUUUUUUAAUAUAAAUCCUAUUCCACUCUCAAGUGUCUCCAAAUGUUGGGAAAUCAUGUUGCUCAAAUUCAGUAAUCAAGCAGUAUUUGGUAGCAUGGUCAGACAUGAAGAAGCUUCUUGCAGGAGAAGCAAAACGUUUUCAAAGAAAAACCAGAAAGUCCAGUUACCUCUUGAAAAAUGCACCUUUGGGACAAUCAUGAUCUGGAUGACUGAGAAUCUCCGUAGACUUCCAGAAACUGCGUUAGCUGAGGUUACCCAUCUCUGCACUAGAGAACAUUCAAAGUUGGUGCAUCCAACUAUUUAUACUGUGCAUAGCAGAAUGAGUUUUGUGAUAUUUGAGGUUUAGCUUUAAAAGGGAAAAAAACUGCACACUCCUAAUUACAAUUUACAAAUAAAAUGUCAAACUCUGGAAGAUGGGCAGUUCCUCACCAGAUCUGAAAUUCCAGUCUUGCACAAUACAGUCCCAGAAGUACAGAAUGCUGAGUCUGGGUAGUAGAACACUUCCAUAGAUACAUAUAAAAGCCUGAAUGUUGUCCUUUACAGGAGCCAAUAUUAAAAUCUCAGAAGGUGAGAGCUGGGAAUAUUAAAAUAGCCAAGGCACAGCUGAGGUUCUCACCAGUCCUUGAGCUAGCAGAAAUCUAUACCAGCAUAACAUACGUUGCCUCUGGUGAUGAGCUCUAUCCUGCCACAGAUAUGAUGUUGACAAAUAGUGCUGGUUCUUAUUAAUAGGCAAGCAGGACACACUAAAAACAGGGAUUAAUACAUUUUCUACUGACUUUUAUUCCUUCCCCUCUUCAUUUUCUGACAGUGAGAGCAAUCGACCAAUGGAACAGCUUGCCUUCAGAAGUUUCAGGAGCUUCAUCAGUGGAAGCUUUCAAGAAGAGAUUGGACUGCCAUCUGUCAGAAAUCUGCUUGGACGGGGUGGGGGGUUGGACUAGAUGACCUACAAGGUCCCUUCCAACUCUGUUAAUUUGUAAUCUAAGUAGAGGGAAAAAUGCUUUCCUUAAUGUGGGUAUGAGGCAGAGGCAACUUUUGACAGAGGGCUAAAUCAGUGAGCGGAGCUACCUGUGAAAACUUGCUUUGGUUUUGUAUGGACGUUUUGUACAGGUGCCGUCAAAGGGAGCCCAAGUAUCAGUUGGCUCAAGCUCAUUUCAAAUACGGGUUUAGAGCUGUUCUAGCAGGCACUAAAACUAUGUUCAAAAGCGGCCUGGAGAACAAUUCACGUGGAAAAUUACACUGGGAAGCAGCCAAGAGAGGGCUGGCUGUCUCUCCUGCUUCACUAUGAAGCCUAGCCCACCCCCAUCAUUUAGGCUGAUACAGAUCACCAAUCCUGGGAUCGGACAGCUGGUACAGGAUGAGAGCUCUCCUGCUGCUUAAGCGGAAAGGUUUUGGAAGAAAACGCCCAGGGAUCACAGGAUGCCAUAGGUCCCUGGCCAAUCUCACCCUUUAGGGGUGACCUCGCAGCAGGGGUGAAAUCCAGCAGGUUCUGACAGGUUCUGGAGAACCGGUAGCGAAAAAGUAGUUUGGAGAACCGACAAAUGCCACCUCUGGCUGGCCCCAGAGUGGGGUGGGAAGGGAGAUUUUGCAAUAUCCUUUUCCUAGGAGUGGGGUGGGAAUGGAGAUUUUGCAGUAUCCUUCCCCCAGGAGUGGGAUGGGAAUGGAGAUUUUGUAGUAUCCUUCCCCUGCCAUGCCCACCAAGCCAUGCCCACAGAACCAGUAGUAAAAAAAAAAUGGAUUUCAUCACUGCCUCACAGGAACACUAACCAAACAGCUGGUGAAAAACACCAGACACCUCCUGUGUCAAAACCAUGGGACCUUAGCGAAUGCUUUAAGAGGUAAGUAAGGUUUUUAACUCUGGAGCAGCUAAGGACAAUUUUGAACUGCUUCAGGUAUGAAUCCUAGAGGAAAGGAAAACAGCAGCACCAAGACUGGGCCAGAAAAGAUGGUUACUAGGUUAUGCUCCUGACUCGGUUUCCCACGGAAGUGGGGAAAAAAAAGAGGGAAUGGUUAUCCCAGCCUCCUCUGAAUAGUUCUGGGACAAUAAGAAACAGCCUUGGUGGUGUAAUCAUUUGCUAAGAAUGGCUCUAAUGGCCCUUUCCUUUUAAACCCCUUCAUUAGCUUCCUUAUCGCUAUCUUGCAAGGGAAGUCCCAGUUAUGCAUGCAAUUCCUUGGUCCAAUCUUUCUACGCGACAGCCUAGAAUUCCUCCAACCUAUUACAGAAAAACCCCAACAACCCCGUGUUAGUGUGAGCCCUGAAUUAGUUUCCCUUUAAAAAUAGCCAGCGGACUCUGGCUCUCUUCCCUUCCCCCAAGUGCUGAGCCUUACAGAGUCCAUCCCAGCUGCCCUCUGACCCCACCCGCGAUGCUUCCUGUUCACCCCGAGCAGGAUUUCCUGCCCAGGGAAGGACAAGCCCAGGAAAUCCGACCGGCGCCAAGAACAGCCAAGUCCUGGCGCCUCCCAGCCAGGACUCAGGGGAGUCCAGCUGCAGGGUUUCAGAGCGAGAUGAAUCAUGCUGAAUGCUGUGGUUGUGGUCAGACCUCCAGUGCGGGGGGGGGGGGGAGGAAGGGUUUCUACUGCUUUGCAGAUGUGGGAAUGAAGGCACAGGGGGAGGAAGGCACCGCACACAAAUGUUGCAAGAUAGGGGCAGAAUCAGGAAUGCCGCCCAGAAUUCCCAGAUCCCAGCCCCUGCCAGUAUUAAGCUCUGGACUUGUUUCCUUCCCUUCCCUUUGGUCCUCUCCAAGCUCUCCGCCGCUGGUUGCAGCUCUCAUCCAUGAUCCCUUCUCUCACACAUUCCUGGUAUGAAGUAGGCGUGUUUGUCAAGUGUGGCUUUGGGGCCAGAUCCAGCAUUCCAGGCUGGGGUGAGCUGAGGUAAACGAGGAACAGCCCCCUGCCCACCCAACCCCUCCUGGCCUCCUAGUUUCAAGUACUAUAUAGCUUUGCUCCGUCUCUCCUUCAGACAAGGCUCAGAGACGGAAGAGUAGAGCAAACCCUGGCAGGCAAUUAGAGAGCCACAGACUUCACAACGUCAAUAUGUUGCUGCAGGCAAUGUGUACGUGACUGCACUCUACUUAGCCCCCUCCAACUCUUUUUUUUUUUUCCCUUUCCCCUGGAAGUCACUUUCAGAACUCUUUAGCUGGGAGUCAGGCGCCUCCCCAUCACUUUUUAGAUAACUUUGGCAAAUUAGGGAGAUAACAAAGCAACACUGAUUAUUAGUCUAGGUUGGAGUAUUGCACUGAGCUUCUGGAAGACGUGGGAGUUCAAUACAGCAGAUAGCACUAAGGUCUUAAGAUUUGGAAAGCCUUAAAACAAGGACGCUGAAUUAUAGAAUUCCAGGAGGAUCCAAGAAACAGCCCUCCAGACAUCAACAUGGAUAAUCUCAUGGCUUCAACGUAGGCGCAUGACGUGAAAGUUUCUUGGUCCUCCGAUUGUGGGAAGCAGAGGAGGAGAUGCAAAGGGAAGAAGGUGGAGCUUUUCCAAGUUAUUUCUCUGCUUCGGGGCAUGUGCAGGACAAGUCCAAAUGUACAUAUGUUUGGCUGUGCAUGAAGAGGCUGUACUCCCAACCUUCCCUUGCAAAGUGCUGCUGAAGUCACUGGGUCUGCCCUACCCACAGGGACACUCCGGGUGGAGUCCUUCUAUUGCAAAACUGCUCAGCUAUUCGGCAGGCCUGGCUCAAAGCUCAAGAGAGGCCAUGGGCUGGGAUCAGAAGGGGCUUUAAACGAAGAAAAACAGAAUCAGAAUGGAUACAAAACUCAGAAGGCGGCCAGGGCCUACAUGUGUCCUGCUCCAGGUUAAAAAAUAAAAGCAGAACAAUUUUUUGCCUUCUCAUUUAGCUACCACACUUUGGAUUACAGGCAGUCCUUGGCUUACAACCAUUCAAAGUUACA